CGUAUCACCCAAGACAACUUUACGGAGUUGACGAUUGACGGAGCGAAGCGACGUCAAAGCGUUCAUUAAAGUCGAGUUGGCUUAGGGAUACGUUCGUUGGGUAGGGGAGCGUUCUGUAAGCCUGUGAAGGUGUGUCGUGAGGCAUGCUGGAGGUAUCAGAAGUGCGAAUGCUGACAUAAGUAACGAUAAAGCGGGUGAAAAGCCCGCUCGCCGGAAGACCAAGGGUUCCUGUCCAACGUUAAUCGGGGCAGGGUGAGUCGACCCCUAAGGCGAGGCCGAAAGGCGUAGUCGAUGGGAAACGGGUUAAUAUUCCCGUACUUGGUGUUACUGCGAAGGGGGGACGGAGAAGGCUAUGUUGGCCGGGCGACGGUUGUCCCGGUUUAAGCGUGUAGGUGUGUGUUCCAGGUAAAUCCGGUUCACUUUAACACUGAGGCGUGACGACGAGGCACUACGGUGCUGAAGCAACAAAUGCCCUGCUUCCAGGAAAAGCCUCUAAGCAUCAGGUAACACGAAAUCGUACCCCAAACCGACACAGGUGGUCAGG
rnacentral:rRNA from 1 species